rnacentral:snRNA from 1 species
CCGAGUCGAGACUUGUAUCCGAUAAAAUUGGAACGAUACAGAGAAGAUUAACAUGGCCGCGGAAGGAUAACACACAUAAUAGAAAAAUUAAAGGUACAAGUUAAUU